ACAAUGGAGAGUUUGAUCCUGGCUCAGGAUGAACGCUAGCGGCAGGCUUAACACAUGCAAGUCGAGGGGUAACAGGGGAGCUUGCUCCCGCUGACGACCGGCGCACGGGUGCGUAACACGUAUGCAACUUGCCCUAUACUGGGGAAUAGCCCGGAGAAAUCCGGAUUAAUGCCCCAUACCACGGGAGAUGGCAUCUUCCUCCGUUGAAAGCUCCGGCGGUAUAGGAUAGGCAUGCGGCCGAUUAGCUAGUAGGUGAGGUAAUGGCUCACCUAGGCUACGAUCGGUAGGGGGCCUGAGAGGGUUAUCCCCCACACUGGUACUGAGACACGGACCAGACUCCUACGGGAGGCAGCAGUGAGGAAUAUUGCGCAAUGGAGGCAACUCUGACGCAGCCAUGCCGCGUGCAGGAUGACUGCCCUACGGGUUGUAAACUGCUUUUAUAUAGGAAGAAACCCCUUUACGUGUAGAGG
rnacentral:rRNA from 1 species